rnacentral:rRNA from 1 species
GACGAACGCUGGCGGCGUGCUUAACACAUGCAAGUCGAACGGAAAGGCCCUGCUUUUGUGGGGUGCUCGAGUGGCGAAGGGGUGAGUAACACGUGAGUAACCUGCCCUUGACUUUGGGAUAACUUCAGGAAACUGGGGCUAAUACAGGAUAGGAGCUCCUGCAGCAUGGUGGGGGUUGGAAAGUUUCGGCGGUUGGGGAUGGACUCGCGGCUUAUCAGCUUGUUGGGGGGGUAGUGGCUUACCAAGGCUUUGACGGGUAGCCGGCCUGAGAGGGUGACCGGCCACAUUGGGACUGCGAUACGGACCAGACUGCUACGGGAGGCAGCAGUGGGGAAUAUUGCACAAUGGGCGGGAGCCUGAUGCAGCAGCGCCGCGUGCGUGAUGACGGCCUUCGGGUUGUGAACCGCUUUCGCCUGUGACGAAGCGUGAGUGACGGUAAUGGGUAAAGAAGCACCGGCUAACUACGUG